rnacentral:rRNA from 1 species
AUUGAACGCUGGCGGCAUGCUUUACACAUGCAAGUCGAACGGCAGCGCGGGCUUCGGCCUGGCGGCGAGUGGCGAACGGGUGAGUAAUAUAUCGGAACGUACCCAAGAGUGGGGGAUAACGUAGCGAAAGUUACGCUAAUACCGCAUACGAUCUAAGGAUGAAAGCAGGGGAUCGCAAGACCUCGUGCUCCUGGAGCGGCCGAUGUCAGAUUAGCUAGUUGGUGAGGUAAAGGCUCACCAAGGCGACGAUCUGUAGCGGGUCUGAGAGGAUGAUCCGCCACACUGGAACUGAGACACGGUCCAGACUCCUACGGGAGGCAGCAGUGGGGAAUUUUGGACAAUGGGGGCAACCCUGAUCCAGCCAUGCCGCGUGAGUGAAGAAGGCCUUCGGGUUGUAAAGCUCUUUCGGCCGGGAAGAAAUCGCACGGGCUAAUACCCUGUGUGGAUGACGGUACCGGAAUAAGAAGCACCGGCUAACUACGUGCCAGCCGCCGCAGUAA